GCCAGCCCAGCGUAAACCUUGCCCCCUUGGAAGUGCCUAGCUGGGGUGGCCCUUGGGAGGACACCAGAGAGGCUCCUGAGGGGUGGUGGGGAAGGUCCUUGCCGCCUUGGGGCCUUUCAUCUGUUCCCUCCUCAGAAGUUGAAUGAGUGAAUGAAUGAGUGAGUGAGUGAGUGAGUGAGUGAGUGGGGACAGGCUUCAACACAAGCACUCCAUCUGCUUCCGGGGGAGAGGAAAGGUGGAGGACUUCAUGUACCAAGAUGGCUGCUACUCCAGGGUAGCACCCAGAGCUCCUAAAUCCUGACUCCAUCUGUUGCAGGCUGGGUGACCUUGAUUUCUUCUAAAAAUGCAAGUAGGGUUAAAGCUGCAAAGAAUUCUAUUGGACAGAUGACUCAACUGGUCUCCACUUCCAGACUCAGGGUUGUGUUAGAUUCUGAUAUUACACCAACCUGAGGUAAGCUGCUUUGCAUGCAUCCUAUUCACAGUGUGUCAGGUGACAGCCCAGAAGGGAGCUUGCUCCAUGGAAAACUUCC
rnacentral:lncRNA from 1 species